UACGUAGGGUGCAAGCGUUAAUCGGAAUUACUGGGCGUAAAGCGUGCGCAGGCGGUUAUGUAAGACAGAUGUGAAAUGCCCCGGGCUUAACCUGGGAACUGCAUUUGUGACUGCAUGGCUAGAGUGUGUCAGAGGGGGGUAGAAUUCCACGUGUAGCAGUGAAAUGCGUAGAGAUGUGGAGGAAUACCGAUGGCGAAGGCAGCCCCCUGGGAUAACACUGACGCUCAUGCACGAAAGCGUGGGGAGCAAACAGG
rnacentral:rRNA from 1 species